CCGAUGGCGACCGGCGCACGGGUGAGUAACACGUAUCCAACCUGCCGAUAACUCGGGGAUAGCCUUUCGAAAGAAAGAUUAAUAUCCGAUAGGAUAUCAAGGUCGCAUGAUCUUGAUAUUAAAGAAUUUCGGUUAUCGAUGGGGAUGCGUUCCAUUAGUUAGUUGCGGGGUAACGGCCCACCAAGACGACGAUGGAUAGGGGUUCAGAGAGGAAGGUCCCCCACAUUGGAACUGAGACACGGUCCAAACUCCUACGGAAGGCAGCAG
rnacentral:rRNA from 1 species